UACGUAGGCAGCAAGCGUUGUUCGGAGUUACUGGGCGUAAAGGGUGCGUAGGCGGUUGUUUAAGUUUGGUGUGAAAUCUCCCGGCUCAACUGGGAGGGUGCGCCGAAUACUGAAUGACUCGAGUGCGGGAGAGGAGAGUGGAAUUCCUGGUGUAGCGGUGAAAUGCGUAGAUAUCAGGAGGGACACCGGUGGUGUAGACGGCUCUCUGGACCGUAACUGACGCUGAGGCACGAAAGCGUGGGUAGCAAACAGG
rnacentral:rRNA from 1 species